CUGCACCUUACGGAGGUUGUAUACCAGAGCUAACGGGAGAAUAGUCAAAACAAUAGCCGUGGAUGCAGAGUCUACGUUGCUGUUAUGGACUGUUUUACCCUGUGAUGAUGGACCGAGAGGAAUUCUCUGGGCCCUUCUGCUGUGGAUAGGAUUUCCGUGGGUUUGUCCCAGUGUACUCAGCAGCCCGGGUAUGCCGCUAAUUCCGACCACGUUGCCGAGUGGAGGCCGCAUGGUCACAAACCGAGCCUGCCUCUCAGCUUGCCCCCGCACUUAGCCCAAAGGAUUUAUGAUAGAAUCUCCUCCACCGUUAAGAAGCAGGAUGCAGUGAGAACCAAGGCAGGAUUGACUGUUGUGUCAUGGGAUAGCAUGGCUGUGGAUGGCAUGGAAAGGCCUAGCCUCUGAAGUUUCUUUGUGGAAGUAGGAUGACAGUCGAUGGGGAUGCAGAUUUCCUUAGGGACCCUGGUCCACUUGAGUUCCCUGCAGUACUCUCUGAGAUGGCAGGUUUUUUUAGUGGAGAAAAGUCCUAAUUAUUCAGGGUACUACAUUUGUUGAUCAGCUGGAUGUCGCAGCACAGGAUGGAAUUUUGAAGUUUUCCAGAUCUUGUUCUUUCGUCCUAUGGUAAAUGAUUUUGGCAAUCUUUUUUUUCAUAUAUGAAAAAGUGGUUAGUGCUGUCAGUAGUCAAUUCCUUGCAGUGUGUUCUACUACAACAACCCUGGUCACAUUCUACCAACUGCACAAAUACUAAACAGAUUGAAAAUAUGAAUAAGAAUCAGCUUUAUUGACCAAUUGUGUGUGCAAAUACAAUAGAUUAGCUUUGCUCUCCUACAAUAGGCACAUAGAAUAACAGAAUAGGCACAAUACUGUCUAUAGUAAUAACACAGACAAUAAAAACAUGUAUAUGUAACUUAUUUUCUAUUAAACAUUUUAUUUUGUUUUUUAAUCUCCUGGGUGGGUGUUAUGAGUGUGUGUGUGUGUGUGUGUGUGUGUGCGUGUGCAGACAUUCACUGUUUGAUGACAAAGGCAUGUGCCUGU